AAAAACACAACGCGCACCAGCUGCAUCCCAUGGUGGCCACUGCAGUCAUGGCGUGGCCUCCCUAUCUCCACGUCGUAGCUACUGCUAACACAGCCACCACAUGACUUCCAGAAGGUGAAGGCGGAUCUCGACCUUGCUCACCUGUUAGAAAGCCACUCGCCUAGCUCCACUUGUCCCAGCUGCUAGGACCGGCGACCUGCUAGGUACUCCCUCGAGCCGAUGGUGAGGGCCCUGCUCUACCCCUUUUCCCGUUAGAUCUAAAUUUUCAUGGAGGUGAGCGCGGACGAGGUCAGGUAUGUCGCCUCCUUCUCUUCCUCCACCGGCUUCUACACGCUCUAGGCCCGCGCUGGUGUUGUCGGCCAUUCCUUGUGCUCGACCUCGCGUCUACGUUGGACUCCGCCCCUCUACCACCGUCUCCAACGCCGCCAUUGAAGCCUGUUGUCCCUGCUCACCCCGGCGAGCAGGCUACACGCCAGGUCGCCGCCUCUGGCGCACUCCGUUGGCUCUAUCCUGACGCUCGCCAUCGCCGUUGAGUAACUCGUCACCCUCAAUGUUCGCCUCACGCUCGCCAGGUGUUUGAGGGAAUGGUGGUACCAGGAGCAGUGAUCGUCUUGCCUAUUGUAUUUAUACGGAAACAUUUGCACGGUUUUGUCUAUGUUUGCAUACACCUAUUGUAUUUAUACUUCUAACUGUUGGUAUGGAGGUGACCUGCAACUUCUCAACCAAGGCGAGCACAGUCACCUUUGGGCCACAGCAUGCCCUGGACUCUACCACCACCGUGAAGGCACGCUACAACAGCAAUGGAAUCGUCGAUGCCCUCAUCCAGCACGAGUGGAGACCCAAGUCAAUCUUCACCCUUUCCACCGGGGUCGAAGUCAAAAUGUUCAACGUGUUUGCUAUCUUGAAGCCCCCCAAGAUUGGGUUGUCACUGCCUCACUGGUCCUCAAGCCCUGAUGAUAAUGUCGAUCCCCUUUAGUCCUAGCAUAGUCAGGUUUUCGUAUCAAUACUUGAGGUCGAGUGAAAUAAUUCUGAACCUUGGGUCUCUUUCUGUCAUCCUGAAAGUUCAGUCUUCCUAGCUGGUUUUAGAUGUUGAGAACUGAAUCUACAAAUGACAUUGUGAUCAAAUACAUCACUUCGUUGACAUCUUGUCUAAA